rnacentral:rRNA from 1 species
CCCUUAGAUGUUCUGGGCCGCACGCGCGCUACAAUGAUGAAUUCAACGAGUUUAUAACCUUGGUUGAAAAUCCUGGGUAAUCUUUUGAACUUUCGUCGUGAUGGGGCUAGACCCUUGCAAUUAUUGGUCUCCAACGAGGAAUUCCUAGUAAACGCAAGUCAUCAGCUUGCAUUGAUUACGUCCCUGCCCUUUGUACACACCGCCCGUCGCUCCUACCGAUUGAGUGGUCCGGUGAGGCUUUGGGAUCUGAGCGGAAAGAGCGUUUCGCUGUUUCUGCUCGGAAAACUCAGUCGAACCUUAUCAUUUAGAGGAAGGAGAAGUCGUAACA